UACGGGGGGGGCAAGCGUUGUUCGGAAUUACUGGGCGUAAAGGGCGCGUAGGCGGUUGGAUAAGUCAGCUGUGAAAACCACGAGCUUAACUCGUGGCCUGCAGUUGAGACUGUCUGGCUUGAGUGUGGGAGAGGAGAGUGGAAUUCCUGGUGUAGCGGUGAAAUGCGUAGAUAUCUGGAGGAACACCGGUGGCGAAGGCGGCAUCCUGGACCAAUUCUGACGCUGAGGAGCGAAAGCCAGGGGAGCAAACGGG
rnacentral:rRNA from 1 species